CCCCCUGACCUGCCCCGCCCCUUCCGCGCGAUCCUACCUCCCUAUCCCGGAGCAUCCUGCUUCUCAGACCCGCCCUCCUGCGUCACGCGCGCCAGUUACGCGCAAGGCCCACUCUUAAGGCACUGGGCUUCCCGCAGAGGUGCAAGCCUCGGCCCAGGCCCCUGGACGGAGGCGGGGUCCUAGGGGGCGGAGCUUAGGGGGGAGGAGGCAACGCCUUACCUGAGUUCCACAGGUUAAGACCUGGUCGCCUUCGAGAGCGUGUAUUUGGAAAAAAGAAAAUAUGGAACAUUGCUAAUGGCCAGUAUUGUUCCCUGAUGGAUAAGUAAACUCACAAGACUCAAUAGUGCCCCAGAGGAGGAGGGGAUGCGCCCCUAAGCAGUGCACCUCUUGCCCCACAGAUAAUGGUCCAGAGACGUGUUCCUCUCAACUCCCACGCCCAAUCAUUGUCUCAUUGACUUCUGGAACCCAUUUCUUCCUCCUUAUACUGACUUCCACUGUUCAGGGACUCAGGUAUCCAGGCCACCUGACAUCCAUUAAGCAGACCACCAGACCUGACCAGACUUCCUGAUGUCCAUCUUCCAGACCACCUGGCAUCCAUCAUCCAGACUGCCUGACAUCUGACUGAUAACCGUCCUGGACCAACCCUAGGGCUAAGAAUGCAGGACUGAUAUUUCUUUAGAAUAUACUUUUUACUAUAAAAACUCUUAACUUUUCUUUCUUCUUUGGAACACUUCUGGGUUUUUGCCUAGUUGUUUUUCCAGUUU